rnacentral:rRNA from 1 species
UACGUAGGGUGCAAGCGUUAAUCGGAAUUACUGGGCGUAAAGCGUGCGCAGGCGGUUCGUCGUGUCCGAUGUGAAAGCCCCGGGCUCAACCUGGGAAUGGCAGUGGAUACUGGAAAGCUAGAGUGCGGUAGAGGGUAGUGGAAUUCCCGGUGUAGCAGUGAAAUGCGUAGAGAUCGGGAGGAACACCAGUGGCGAAGGCGGCUACCUGGACCAGCACUGACACUGAGGCACGAAAGCGUGGGGAGCAAACAGG